CCAGCCUCACGCUGCCUUUCCUGCUGCAGAGAGCACAGAGACAGUCAAAGAGACGGCUUCCGCCAAGACCAGCAAAACCACAAGCAGCAGCAGAAAGCACCCCCCUCCUCUUCCUCCCUGCGUCUCCAUGUCUCAGGAAGGGGUGGCCAUGGUCCUCCCUCCAGCCAGGCCGACCCCCACCCUGCUCCAGCCGUGCCACUCCAUUUCUGAGGAUGCUCAGAGGGUCCUCCGGAAAGUCUAACGACAUGAGAAUGUUUAACCCUCUCCUGCAACAGGGACACCACAGAGGAGGUCAGGAUUAAGAAAACAGUGGAUGCAUGGAUCAACGCCCUGAGUAAGGAUAUCCAGGUGAGUCGGUCAAAAGGUCACCUUGAGUCAUUUCAGUUGGUUUGUUCCAACUGUCGUUUUGUUUUGUCCUG
rnacentral:lncRNA from 1 species